rnacentral:rRNA from 1 species
AAAAUCAACUCUUACUUAACUUACACAUGCAAGUCUCAGCACCCCUGUGAGAACGCCCUUCGACUCCUCAAAGGAGAAAGGAGCCGGUAUCAGGCACAUUUUUAGCCCAAGACACCUAGCUUUGCCACACCCACAAGGGAUUUCAGCAGUGAUUAACAUUGAACAUAAGCGACAGCUUGAUUCAGCUAAAGAAAAGAGAGCCGGCAAAUUUGGUGCCAGCCGCCGCGGUUACACCACGUGGCUCAAGUUGAUUUUACUCGGCGUAAAGCGUGAUUUAAGAGACCUGCCCCUGAUGUUAAAAAAGAACUGAGCUGUGACACGCCUGUUCCUUAGAAGCCCAGAAACGAAAGUUACACCAAUUGCACCAACUUGA